rnacentral:rRNA from 1 species
GACGAACGCUGGCGGCGUGCUUAACACAUGCAAGUCGAACGGAAAGGCCCUGCUUUUGUGGGGUGCUCGAGUGGCGAACGGGUGAGUAACCCGUGAGUAACCUGCCCUUGACUUUGGGAUAACUUCAGGAAACUGGGGCUAAUACCGGAUAGGAGCUCCUGCUGCAUGGUGGGGGUUGGAAAGUUUCGGCGGUUGGGGAUGGACUCGCGGCUUAUCAGCUUGUUGGUGGGGUAGUGGCUUACCACGGCUUUGACGUGUAGCCGGCCUGAGAGGGUGACCAGCGACAUUGGGACUGAGGGAGGGCCCAGACUCCAACGGGAGGCAACGGAGGGGAGUAUUGCACAGUGGGCGGAAGCCUGAUGCAGCGACGUCGCGUGCGGGAUGACGUCCUUCGGGUUGUAAACCGCUUUCGCCUGAGACGAAGCGUGAGUGACGGUAAUGGAUAAAGAAGCACCGGCUAACUACGUG